AGGCUCACUUUCAAAAAGCAAAAAGUUGCAAUAUCGGUAUACGACGUUACGUAGAUAUUGCACUAAUUUGCUUUUGAAAGUG
rnacentral:pre_miRNA from 1 species